rnacentral:rRNA from 1 species
GACGAACGCUGGCGGCGUGCUUAACACAUGCAAGUCGAACGGAAAGGCCCCUUUGGGGGUACUCGAGUGGCGAACGGGUGAGUAACACGUGAGUAACCUGCCCUUGACUUCGGGAUAACUUCAGGAAACUGGGGCUAAUACCGGAUAGGAAUCCUUGCUGCAUGGUGGGGGUUGGAAAGCUUCGGCGGUUUUGGAUGGACUCGCGGCUUAUCAGCUUGUUGGUGGGGUAGUGGCUUACCAAGGCUUUGACGGGUAGCCGGCCUGAGAGGGCGACCGGCCACAUUGGGACUGAGAUACGGCCCAGACGCCUACGGGAGGCAGCAGUGGGGAAUAUUGCACAAGGGGCGGAAGCCUGAUGCAGCAACGCCGCGGGCGGGAUGACGGCCUUCGGGUUGUAAACCGCUUUCAGCAGGGGCGAAGCUUGUGGUGACGGUACCUGCAGAAGAAGCACCGGCUAACUACGUG